rnacentral:rRNA from 1 species
UACGUAGGGUGCAAGCGUUGUCCGGAAUUAUUGGGCGUAAAGAGCUCGUAGGCGGUUUGUCGCGUCGAAUGUGAAAACCCGGGGCUCAACCCCGGGCCUGCAUUCGAUACGGGCAGACUAGAGUUCAGUAGGGGAGUCUGGAAUUCCUGGUGUAGCGGUGAAAUGCGCAGAUAUCAGGAGGAACACCGGUGGCGAAGGCGGGACUCUGGGCCGAUACUGACGCUGAGGAGCGAAAGCGUGGGGAGCAAACAGG